GAUGAACAACCAAAACAACAACUACACAACUUCCUAUAAGCCCACUAUUUCAAUUGGGGUUGUUUCAAACCAACCAUAAAUAUACCAGAGUUUAUUCUUCAAACCCUAAACUAUUCUUUUCUCUGCAUUUCAAAACCAAAACCCAUGUAUCUAAUUCCUUUCUAUGCAUACAACAUCUUCCCAACCCUUGCUUAUCACUCUCUCCGUCUAAUCUUCUUCCUUCUAUCUUUGAUUUCCCUUUUUUUUCCUGAUUUCCCUUUCUCUCAGCUUUACUUGAUUUGCUUAUAUGAUGCUUAAUUGUUUGAAAUUCUUGAAUCUAAAGCUAACAUCAUGUUUUUCGUGUGAUUGUUUUAGCAAUCAAACUCUAGUCAACCUUAUCCAUUUCGCCUUCUAUGUACCAAAUUUACAUCUGUUAUGUUCAACCUACCAAUUUAUCCACCGUUGUCGCAGAGUCCCUCUGGUUCUGUAGAGCACGGGAAGAAAUUCUCCACCGCCAUCGCAAAGUGCUAACAAGAUUAAACAAGAAAUUUCACCUAUCGCUCGCCUCCUCAAUAUCGCUUCUAUUCCACCGUAAACCCUAAAGGAAAGUUUGCGAUUUAUACUCUUUCUUCCAUCGGUUCUGUAAUAUCCCUAAAGGGAAAUUAUGAUUGAAUCUAACAUUUUUAUUAGAUUUUCUAAUUUAUGUUGAUAUAAUUUUAGGGUUGAAUUCUUAGUGUUGGUUGAUUUUGAGUUUCAGUAAAUUGAACUCAAUGUUAGGUUUUCUGAUUUAUGAUUUAUUAAGGGCUAUUUUCUAAAUCUACUUUUUGUAAAGGAUAAAGGAGUUUCCCUUUUAUUUCCAACUGAUGUGGUUAUUGCCGAAAGGUUUUCUGCUGAUGCUAACGCCAAGGAAUCGAAGAAGAGGAAUUGAAGCGUGUAUAGAAUUGGGAUACUUCUUCAUUGUUCCUGCAAACGCAAGAGGCUAUUCCAAAGAUUGGUUUGUCUCUCUCAUUUGAUUGGUAGAAAGAAAGAUUAAGAUGAACAUAGCUUUUGAAGAUCCUGCAGGUGACUUUACUCUUGCAAAGCUGAAAUUGAAUUUCAAGAGAUUAUGGGAGGAGUUUAUAGCAGAUCUUCAUUGAAAAAUCAAAUAAACCAACUGAUUUUGUGUUUGUUAGAUAUUCAUGAAAUGAAAAAGGGUUUAAUAGAGGUUGGUAAUGUAAUAUAACUGUUUUC